GCCGGGCAUGAUGGCUUAUGCCUGUAAUCCCAGCACUUUGGGAGGCCGAGGCGGGUGGGUCACUUGAGGCCAGGAGUUCGAGACCAGCCUGGCCAAUAUGGCGAAACCCCGUCUCUA
rnacentral:sRNA from 1 species